rnacentral:misc_RNA from 1 species
AAGUCGUAACAAGGUUUCCGUAGGUGAACCUGCGGAAGGAUCAUUAACGAAUGAAGCAGAGCGGGGUUGUCGCUGGCCUCCGGGCAUGUGCACGCCUCGCUUGUUCCACCUUCUACACCACUGUGCACUUCUCAUGGGUCGGGUCUGGCGCCUUCACGGGCGACGAUCCUGCCUGUGUGCUUUACACAUACACAUGUUUGUCAUAGAAUGUCUACUGUGCAUGAAUGCAUAUAAUACAACUUUCAGCAACGGAUCUCUUGGCUCUC